rnacentral:rRNA from 1 species
UACGGAAGGCAGCAGUGGGGAAUAUUGCACAAUGGGCGCAAGCCUGAUGCAGCCAUGCCGCGUGUAUGAAGAAGGCCUUCGGGUUGUAAAGUACUUUCAGUCGUGAGGAAGGUGUUAAGGUUAAUAACCUUAGCAAUUGACGUUAGCGACAGAAGAAGCACCGGCUAACUCCGUGCCAGCAGCCGCGGUAAUACGGAGGGUGCGAGCGUUAAUCGGAAUUACUGGGCUAAAGGGCACGCAGGCGGUUAAUUAAGUUGGAUGUGAAAUCCCCGGGCUUAACCUGGGAAUGGCAUUCAAGACUGGUUAGCUAGAGUCUUGUAGAGGGGGUAGAAUUCCAUGUGUAGCGGUGAAAUGCGUAGAGAUGUGGAGGAAUACCGGUGGCGAAGGCGGCCCCUGGGACAAAGGACUGACGCUCAUGUGCGAAAGCGUGGGGAGCAAACAGGAUUAGAUACC